rnacentral:rRNA from 1 species
CCUACGGGAGGCUGCAGUAGGGAAUAUUGCUCAAUGGGGGAAACCCUGAACCAGCAACGCCGCGUGAAGGAUGAAGGUUUUCGGAUUGUUAACUCUUUUUUUUAGAGAAGUUAAUUACGGCAUCUAUCGAAUAAGCACCGUCUAAUUCCGUGCCAGCAGCCGCGGUAAUACGGAGGGUGCAAGCGUUACUCGGAAUCACUGGGCGUAAAGAGCGCGUAGACGGGGUAGCAAGUCAGUUGUGAAAUUCUUAGGAUUAACCAUAAAACUGCAUUUGAAACUGUUAGUCUAGAGUAUAGUAGAGGUAGGUGGAAUUCGUGGUGUAGGGGUAAAAUCCGUAGAGAUCAAGAGGAAUACUCAUUGCGAAGGCGACCUGCUAGAACAUAACUGACGCUGAUGCGCGAAAGCGUGGGGAGCAAACAGGAUUAGAUACCCGGGUAGUC